rnacentral:lncRNA from 1 species
UAAACUCCAUGAACUUCCCAGCUUGCGUUCCCAUUACAAAGGGCAACUCCUGCGGCCAAACAACCCGCCCAGGACAACGCAGCCAAACGCAACACGCAGACAGGCGCAAGGCUGAAGAAGAGAACGCAAGGGGACUGCCAUGUACCUGCUCUGAAGGAUUGCUGUACUCAAGAGCUAGUUUUCUUGAAGAAACGGCAGACGGUUUGACAGUAAGGCUAAGCUAUCAAGAACAAAAAAAAGUAAGAGAACUAGCUUAACUUUUUUCUUAUUUUUCACCACUUUUCAUCACCAAAAUAAUUUGCAGUUCUGCAAGCAAGUAGAGUGCUUUAAACCUUAAAAAAAUUAAAAUAUUUAACAGAUCAUUCCCAACACUUCUUGUGCGUUCCUCUUGCCCCACCCUCAUUUUCGUGAUUAUCUGUAAUGCUGUGAGUAGCUAUGUGAAGGAGCAAUCCAUCACUGUGAGUUAAUCUAGCAACUACCUAACAAGAUAACUUUUUCAUUCUUUUUUUUCCCCCCCCAGGUCCUUCCCCCAGAGUCGCAACGUUCUCCAAAAUCAGACGCUUGCUAAAACCCAUCUGUAACUGAACGCUCAGCUCUUCUUAAUUUGCACACACUGCGAGGUAUUGCAUAGUCUCUUUCCCCUCAUUCACCAUCAGUCAUUAGAAACCCCCCUGUCCCACAUAUUACGUUAUGUCCUACUAACUCAUAUUCAGAAAUAAUUCAAACAAAUCUAGGUUGACCGCUCUUUCUGUAGCUGCACAAGACAUUCAGCAACAUCAAUAUUCAUGUUCAGUUCCUCAUGAAAUGAACUGAACUGUGAAUAUCUUGUUUCAGUUGGGUAGCCUUGAGCGUUUUUUAUUUUUUGAGCAGUUCUGUUUAGCAAGAAAGCUUUUUUCUGAUUUUAAUGAACAGUUACAGCGUACAUUAAGUGAAUACCUUUGUGCCUCCAAUCUAUCGUGUUUAGUAGUACUGUUGAUUCCUCUCUGGCUAUUUGGAGGGGCAAUCUCAGCAAACAUACAGAUUUUUCACGUUAGCUGGUUUAUAACAUAAAAACUUUUCCUUGAGCACCUGCUUUCACCUUUCUGGAACUGACGUGCAUAUUCAGCUACUGAGUAUAGCAAUAAGUCCUCUUUUGUCAAGAUCAAACGCCAAACCUCAGGCAAAAUAAGAAGCAUCUGGACAGUCAGCGCUGCAGAAAAUAGUUUGUCCUUCCUUCAACCAUUUUAAUACAAAACAGAGCAAGUACUUUCAUAACAACUUUUGUUUUUUUCAGUAGCUGGGCUUGGAUUUUCUUUAAAAACCAGACAAUACUAUCAGUAGCUGCUGAUAGAAAACUUUUUUUUGCAUAGACUUUCGAAAUAGUCUUCUGAAUUCUGCUGUUUUAUAUCAAACAACGUCAUUCAUUGCUCUGAGUGUAACAUUAUUCCUUUUCUGAGGAAUCAGAUAUGCCAGAAUAUUAGUUUGCUGGUGUUGGUUGCCAUUUCUGGGUGACCUGAUCGGCCUUUUAAUCUCUCCGGCUGUGAGAGUUGGGAGGGAGUUGAAAUCUUCGUCUAGAUCUCUUCCUCUCCUACCCACACCAGAGAGUGCUUAUUAGAGGAAAAGUCAUUAUCAAAAACAUGGAAAGUGCAUUCUUUGGCUGAGCUGGAAAGAGGUGACAUUUAGCAAUUGUAAAGUAUGAUCCAUGGGAUACGUGAAUUAAUCUGAAUAAGGGUUAAAUAGAACGCUAAUUAGCUCAGUUCAUCUCGGACAAGUUUCUCUAGCUUUUAUAAGUUUUCAAAAUGUAUUUGAUUUCAGGGUGAAAAAGGGCUGGGAUCUGAUCUGCACGCAGUUAUAAUGUGGAUUGAUUUGACUGAGGGUAUGAUUUUUUUUUAAACCAAAAUAGUUAUACUGAUACCAUUCCUAGUGUUUUACCAGCAUAAAGGGUGUAUUGGUAUAGUUCAUAUACCUUCCCUAAAUGGGAACAUGUAUGUAUGAUGUAUUAAGCAUAUGUGUAUCAGUAGAAAUCACAUCUACACCGGAAGGAUAUAGUGAUGUUACUACACAAAUAAAAGUUUUUGUUAAAGCUGUACA